rnacentral:misc_RNA from 1 species
GAUGAAGAACGUAGCGAAAUGCGAUAAGUAGUGUGAAUUGCAGAAUUCAGUGAAUCAUCGAAUCUUUGAACGCACAUUGCGCCCUUUGGUAUUCCUUAGGGCAUGCCUGUUCGAGCGUCAUUUAAACCUUCAAGCUAAGCUUGGUGUUGGGUGACUGUCCGCUUCACUGCGGACUCGCCUCAAAAUUAUUGGCGGCCGGUACAUUGGCUUCGAGCGCAGCAGAAACGCGAACUCGGGCCCGUCGUAUUGGCUCCCAGAAGCUAUCUUCACAAUUUUGACCUCGGAUCAGGUAGGGAUACCCGCUGAACUUAAGCAUAUCAAUAAGCGGAGGA